rnacentral:rRNA from 1 species
UACGGGGGGGGCAAGCGUUGUUCGGAAUUACUGGGCGUAAAGGGCUCGUAGGCGGCCAACUAAGUCAUACGUGAAAUCCCUCGGCUUAACCGGGGAACUGCGUCUGAUACUGGAUGGCUUGAGUUUGGGAGAGGGAUGCGGAAUUCCAGGUGUAGCGGUGAAAUGCGUAGAUAUCUGGAGGAACACCGGUGGCGAAGGCGGCAUCCUGGACCGAUACUGACGCUGAGGAGCGAAAGCCAGGGGAGCAAACGGG